AAAAGAAAAAGUAGAAGAUGGUGGAAAAGAUAUGUGAAUAGAAUUGCAAUACAUUUGUAAAAAAAUAUUUUUACUUAUUAUUUAUUUAAUAUUCAUAUUCACUUCUAAACAUCGAGUUUUGUAUUUCUACAGACAGAACCGAUCAAUAAACAAUGGGAUAUUCGCAUGAAAAACGCUGUACUUUUUACGACGCUAUAUCGCUAAAUAUAUUUCCUAGAAGGUCACUGGACGUAUCAUCUUCCCAGAAGUGAAUAUACUUUUCUCUUUGCUGCACGUGCAAUGUAUUAAAGAACUUUUUCCAACAUGAAUACCAGAUGAUGAUGGAAACAUUGGAAUUCAGUUGGUACAGUUGAUGUGAUAUCCAGCCAAUCUUGAAGACAAA